rnacentral:rRNA from 1 species
GCGCGUAAAUUGCCCGAAUCCUGACACAGGGAGGUAGUGACAAGAAAUAACAAUACAGGGCUACUUCUAGUCUUGUAAUUGGAAUGAGUACAACUUACAUCUCUUCACGAGGAUCAAUUGGAGGGCAAGUCUGGUGCCAGCAGCCGUGGUAAUUCCAGCUCCAAUAGCGUAUAUUAAAGUUGUUGCAGUUAAAAAGCUCGUAGUCGGAUUUCGGGGCGGGCCGAGCGGUCUGCCGAUGGGUAUGCACUGUUCGGCGCGUCCUUCUUUCCGGAGACUGCGCCUACUCUUAGCUGAGCGGGCGUGGGAGACGGAUCGUUUACUUUGAAAAAAUCAGAGUGUUUCAAGCAGGCAGCUCGCUCUUGCAUGGAUUAGCAUGUGAUAAUGAAAUAGGACUCUGGUGCUAUUUUGUUGGUUUCGAACACCGGAGUAAUGAUUAACAGGGACAGUCAGGGGCACUCGUAUUCC